GGUCGCCGGGUAGCUGAUCAAGUUUGAGAUUGACGUUACGAUACAGGAGACGCACUUCAGAAAUUAGUGGAUCUGGAGGAGUAUGCGUUGUGUCAAGGCUGCGUAGUGAAUAAAGAUGUCAUCCGGGUCGUCAAGUUUAGGAGGUGGAUCCCUUUCCUGGACGGGAUGCACAAUUCUAAACUUGGGUUUUUAUUUACGUGCUUUUGAUGAGUCAUUGUGAACUCUGUUAAUCAUGUCAUGGUUGUAACUUACUUUAUGUGUCAACAUUUUCAAACAAUGUCGUUGUGGUAUUUUGUUUUAACUUAAUGAAUGGAUGAACAUCAUUUGUUUUAUCAUA